AUAGCGUAUAUUAAAGUUGUUGCAGUUAAAAAGCUCGUAGUUGAACCUUGGGCCUGGCUGGCCGGUCCGCCUCACCGCGUGCACUGGUCCGGCCGGGCCUUUCCUUCUGGGGAGCGGCAUGCCCUUCACUGGGUGUGUCGGGGAACCAGGACUUUUACUUUGAAAAAAUUAGAGUGUUCAAAGCAGGCCUAUGCUCGAAUACAUUAGCAUGGAAUAAUAGAAUAGGACGUGUGGUUCUAUUUUGUUGGUUUCUAGAGCCGCCGUAAUGAUUAAUAGGGAUAGUCGGGGGCAUCAGUAUUCAAUUGUCAGAGGUGAAAUUCUUGGAUUUAUUGAAGACUAACUACUG
rnacentral:rRNA from 1 species